GCUGUUUAUCAGGUAUUAUCAGCUUAAUAUUUUUUUUAAGCUGGUAGUUACAAAUAUGCGUUUAUAUGAGAUAAAAUGCUAAUGAUAAUCAGCUAAUUUAUUUAUACCUUCGAAGUACAAGCUAAGUACGACCAAGCGAGGAAACUCAACCCAAAAGAAAUAACUACGUCAGUGAAAUAAUCAAUCAAAACAAUGAAACGAGACCUACUGUAAGGACAUUAGCAGCAAUGAACGAAGAGGCGUUUAUCACCGAAUGUGUUAAGUUCUUAAAAGGAGACAAACCAGUGCAAGUACUACAAUAUAAUUGUGCUCUAUGGAGAAAUAAUACCGAUAUAGUCUGGCAGAGAAUUAACAAAUUACUACGAAUCUCAUCAGGACGCUUUCUAACAACCUUUUUACAUUUAUUAGUCAAUUAUAAAGAUCUAUGGGACCGCCGAGAUAUAAACGGCGAAAUCUUGAUCUUCGAGCUGGGUCCAGUAGAUUAGUGUAUUUUCUUUAAUGAAAAGGCACCGACAAACUAACAGUCAAUAAAAAAGGAGAGGAUAUAUAUUGCGAGGCAAUUAAUACAGGGCGAGAAGAUGUACUAAGAGUACUUAAGUCGCACGGAUAAGCCCUGUUACGAAAAAAUGUUUAUAUACUUUCGCUAUUAAUAAGAAAGCAAGUCAUUUAAUACUGCUCUUGAAAGCUAAAGGGAUAAAGGCAACAGACCCCGUCGCUGCAUUACGGUUAGCCAUCAGAGAAGAUGAAGAAGAAGAACAACUUAUAGAAUCAGGCCAUGACAUAGAAGCUCGUACUGAAAACGGAAGAACAGCACUACAAAUCGCGAUUGCCGCAAAACACCACCAAAUAACGAGAUACUUAAUUGAAAAAGGAGCAAAUGUGCGAGCCCGGAUGGACGAAAUCGGGGAGAUACACCAGGGCGCCUCCAUCAAAGAAAGAGAGAGGGACAACUGCACUCUAGUCGAGGCCGCCGCUCUCGACAACGACAGCGAUGUGCUAGUACUUUUAUGGAGCCUAGGAGCUCCUUUAUAUAAUGAAUUGGGAAACAGCCUUUUAAAUAACCAAAUUGGUGACGAAGCAAAAGAGGCUCUGGUGAGAAGGAUGGCUCUGGUGAAUCACUUGCAAGGAGUUAUGCACCCGACAAACCACCUAAUAUGCACUCGUGAUAUAAGUCCUGCGAAGACAAAAGAGGUACAACAACAGAAAAAGAAUCAGUACGAAUAGUCUCUAUAGUUUACUUCGAGUUCUACGACAGUGUUAUGCAAACAAAAAACAUAUAUAAGAAAGAAUUAAUCAAUAAUAAUUAAGAAUUAAUAUAUAAUUAAGAAUAACCAUAACAGAACUACGGCCUAACCAAUCCGCGAAAGAAUGCUAUAAAGGACAAGAAUAUGCUAUCACGGAAGAGAGAGUAUGCAGACAUCUACACAAAGAAUGCGCAAUUGAUCAAUGUGUACUCGUUUAACUAAUCCAACAAAUCACGGGAAGAAUGGAAAGAAAGUUUAAGAAAAAAAAUUCUCUAUACGCAAACCCCAGCGAUAAUGUGCAAAAUUGACCACAAACAAUAUUCAAAAAUAAGCAGAAGGCUAGUAAGUAGAGUACAAGAGAAACAAGGAUCACUAUUAAUUAACCUCAUAAAAUAAAGAGAGAAUAAAUAGUCACUGUGAAAAUUAAACAACGUAAAUUGCCACUCCAAUGCACUAAUAUUUACUAUUAGUUAAACUAUAACGAUAAACUAUAACGAUAAAAAUAUUACGAUUUUUCCCUUUCAGUAAUCCAGAACAAUGGACAUCAGGCACUAUUUUCUCCUCUUGAGCUGCGGAAGCAUAAUGAGAGCCCAUAAGUACAUGCCCCUUUUCUCAGUCAAAAGGGUCGAGCGAAACACCGGUUGUAUUUAGUUAUUAUUUCUUGGCCUCCGCGUAUUAUUUCGAAUAAUUAGGCUAAAAUUAAUUCUCGGGUUCUCGGAUACGUUUCUAAGCAUAUCCUGACGGUGUAGGGACAAUUGACUUCGACUGCGGCAUGUAUAAUAGAGGUCAUUUCUUCGGGAGUCAUGGCGAUGAACCACCUGCGAAUUAAAUCCCGUACUGCGUAUCGUUGAUGUCGUGAUACCAUAUUUUGAAUGAUUCGUACCUUUUCCUUGUAGCUUGGCUUAAAAAUGGCUAUUGCUCGGCUAGUUAUUUUCCAAAGGUAAGCGUCUAUUCUUCUUCUGUGAGAUAAAUAGGAAAUAACUGGAUCAGAUAUUUGUUUUGUUUUGAAUGUUGACUCGAAUUAUUUACAUUCUUUCCCUCGCGUAGGUUUACUUAUGACUGAUUUGUUGAUGUUUUAUUAUUUUUAUCUCUUUUGUGUUUAGACUCUAUUUUCCGGCUUCCUAUGGCUGCUCCGCCCACUCUCGAGUAGAGCAGGUAGUUACGUGACGUUCUAUUGUUGUUUGGAGCACGGCAGACUCGACUCUACUCCUUCUCUUGAUUUGCUUCUGUGAGGGGGUAGGGUAGUUUGUCAGGGAUGCACGGAGGGCAUAGAAUAUUACGGUAGAUUAGUUUCGUCGUGCAGUUUACGGAAUUUGGUCGUCCUUCGUCGUGUGCUCCGCAAUUUGUCUUUUUAUAUCCUUUUUUUGUUGUUACUCUGACGUGUUGCUCAUCGAGCUUGUGAAGUCUUAAUAGCAACUAGUUCGUUUGUGAAUCUAAAAGUGGUGCUUUAACAAGACUUAUCAUCCAUGGAUUCUAACAGUGAUAAUGGAGACAGGAUUUUCUGGAAAUUCUGUUUUAGUUAACUGUUAUUCUCAUUUUUCCUUUUCGGAAAAGGUAAGUUGUCGCUUGCGAUUUGAAUUCUUCUUUUAGUGUUUAUUUUCCUUCAUCGAGUUGCUUGUUUAUAGAGGGGCGCGGAGCCUUGUCAUAGUAGCAAGGACCUUGAGAAGAACUGUCCGAUCUGCUUUGAAUCCACGAGGUCGCCAUCAAAUGUCAAUUUCUUCCUGUCGAGAGGUAUUGUCGGGUUCUUGUAGGUAUCCUAUCCGGUGUUUGUAACGGAUACUCGGACUCCUCCAGUAGGAAAUAUUUCUGACCAAUGAGUCGUUUGUCAUACGGAGACGUGGAACGGUCAACUAGCGGCUCGCAAUUGUGCUUAUUGUGAAGACUCCUGCGGUCAGCCACCGAAAUUGAUAAGAUGGGAGAAUACUGGUCGGUGAAUCUACAGAUUUGACUUGGGAUAUAUGGACUCAGCUGUCCUUUGGAGAGAAUUUUAGUUAUUUAAUUUCAUUUAUG